rnacentral:rRNA from 1 species
AUUGAACGCUGGCGGCAGGCCUAACACAUGCAAGUCGAACGGUAACAGGAAACAGCUUGCUGUUUCGCUGACGAGUGGCGGACGGGUGAGUAAUGUCUGGGAAACUGCCUGAUGGAGGGGGAUAACUACUGGAAACGGUAGCUAAUACCGCAUAACGUCGCAAGACCAAAGAGGGGGACCCUCGGGCCUCUUGCCAUCGGAUGUGCCCAGAUGGGAUUAGCUUGUUGGUGGGGUAACGGCUCACCAAGGCGACGAUCCCUAGCUGGUCUGAGAGGAUGACCAGCCACACUGUAACUGAGACACGGUCCAGACUCCUACGGGAGGCAGCAGUGGGGAAUAUUGCACAAUGGGCGAAAGCCUGAUGCAGCCAUGCCGCGUGUAUGAAGAAGGCCUUCGGGUUGUAAAGUACUUUCAGCGGGGAGGAAGGGAGUAAAGUUAAUACCUUUGCUCAUUGACGUUACCCGCAGAAGAAGCACCGGCUAACUCCGUG